rnacentral:snRNA from 1 species
GUCUCUUCGGAGACAUCCAAUAAAACUAGAACGAUACAAAGAAGAUUAGCAUGGCCCAUGCGCAACGACGACACGCACAAAUCGAGAAAUGGUCCAAUAGUUA